UAUAUAUUAAAAAAAAGGGAGGAAAAAUGGUUCAAUCGUGUUCUUCUUCUACUUGACUCCUCAUUUCCAAUUCAACUGAGAACCGCGUCGGAGCAGCUUGCUUUGGACGCUGAACAAAAUCUUCAAUUCCAUCGCCACUGAAGGUGCAUCACACUUUUGUAACUGCAUGGUGCUUUUAAUAUCUGGGACGAGGAUAGCUGUGAGAUCUCACGUCGGUUGGGAAGGAGAACGAAACAUUAUUUAUAAGGGUAUGAUAUGGUACCCCUACAGAUUGAAAUCUCUUGCUAGCGAACUGUGGGAAUCCUUCUCUUCCCAAUAUUUUUCUUUUUAAAUUAAGGUUUAAAGAACAGAGGGGUGGGAUUUAUAUAGGUAUGCUACGAUUGGAGUAAAGGGGCAGAAAAUCACAACCCUGCAACAGCCAAGACCUUCAUUUACUUGCACCUACAGCAGGCACUUGGUUGGAGUGCAUAAUUUUGAUGAUUUCUGUACUUGUUUAGAAUGUUCUUGCAGGCUUAGAAUUUCCCCCCUUCGAAUGUAUCCUAUUCUCUGAUGUCAAAUUACUACUAGGUUUGACGAGGCAGCACAAAUUUUGAAUAUAUUUUUACUUCAGUUCCUA